rnacentral:SRP_RNA from 14 species
ACCCGCUCAGGAGUGGAAGGAAGCA